CGCCGACAAUUCAGUGGGGCUCAAGCACACCGCCGAAGCUGUGGCAUUCACACAAUAGCUCAGCCCCUUGUGGGUUCAGGCGUGUGGAUGGGUAGGGGAGCGUCGUGUGGCGAGUGAAGUCGCGGGGUGACCCAGCGGUGGACGCCACACGAGUGAGAAUGCAGGCAUGAGUAGCGAAUGACGGGUGGGAAACCCGUCCGCCGAAUGAUCAAGGGUUCCAGGGUCAAGCUAAUCUGCCCUGGGUAAGUCGGGACCUAAGGCGAGGCCGACAGGCGUAGUCGAUGGACAACGGGUUGAUAUUCCCGUACCGGCAUUAACACGACCCGACCGAGGUCACUGAUGCUAAAACCGAGAAGCUAGGCGGCCUUCGGGCCAAGUAGUGGAUCUGUUGACCCGAGGUGGUAUUAGGUGCACUAAGGAGUGACGCAGGAGGGCAGUCCAUCCGCGGCGAUGGUAGGCGCAAGCUGAUCCGCGGGCAAGGUGGUAGGGCGGGGCAUAGGCAAAUCCGUGUCUCAUUAAGCCUGAGAACCGAGGCGGACCCGUUCAGGGGAAGUGGAUGAUCCCAUGCUGCCAAGAAAAACUUCGUAGUGAGUGUUAGAGCCGCCCGUACCCCAAACCGACACAGGUGAUCAGGUAGAGAAUACCAAGGCGAUCGAGUGAACCAUGGUUAAGGAACUCGGCAAAAUGCCCCCGUAACUUCGGGAGAAGGGGGGCCGGACACGUGACACCACUUGCUGGUGGAAGCGUUGAUGGCCGCAGAGACCAGGCCCAAGCGACUGUUUACUAAAAACACAGGUCCAUGCGAAGAAGUAAUUCGAUGUAUACGGACUGACGCCUGCCCGGUGCUGGAACGUUAAGGGGACAGGUUAGCUGGUUUAGGCCGGCGAAGCUUUGAACUUAAGCGCCAGUAAACGGCGGUGGCAACUAUAACCAUCCUAAGGUAGCGAAAUUCCUUGUCGGGUAAGUUCC
rnacentral:rRNA from 13 species